rnacentral:rRNA from 1 species
UACGAAGGGGGCUAGCGUUGUUCGGAAUUACUGGGCGUAAAGCGUGCGCAGGCGGUGAUGUAAGACAGAUGUGAAAUCCCCGGGCUCAACCUGGGAACUGCAUUUGUGACUGCAUCGCUGGAGUGCGGCAGAGGGGGGGAUGGAAUUCCGCGUGUAGCAGUGAAAUGCGUAGAUAUGCGGAGGAACACCGAUGGCGAAGGCAAUCCCCUGGGCCUGCACUGACGCUCAUGCACGAAAGCGUGGGGAGCAAACAGG